rnacentral:rRNA from 1 species
UACAGAGGUCCCAAGCGUUGUUCGGAUUCACUGGGCGUAAAGAGCGCGCAGGCGGUCGUACAAGUCGCGUGUGAAAGCCCCCGGCUCAACUGGGGAGGGUCACGCGAUACUGUUCGACUCGAAGGCAGGAGAGGGAAGCGGAAUUCCCGGUGUAGUGGUGAAAUGCGUAGAUAUCGGGAGGAACACCAGUGGCGAAGGCGGCUUCCUGGCCUGUUCUUGACGCUGAGGCGCGAAAGCUAGGGGAGCAAACGGG